UACGGAGGGGGCUAGCGUUAUUCGGAAUUACUGGGCGUAAAGCGCACGUAGGCGGAUUGGAAAGUUGGAGGUGAAAUCCCAGGGCUCAACCUUGGAACUGCCUUCAAAACUUCCAGUCUUGAGGUCGAGAGAGGUGAGUGGAAUUCCGAGUGUAGAGGUGAAAUGCGUAGAUAUGUGGAGGAACACCAAUGGCGAAGGCAGCCCCCUGGGAUAACACUGACGCUCAUGUACGAAAGCGUGGGUAGCAAACAGG
rnacentral:rRNA from 1 species